rnacentral:rRNA from 1 species
AUUGAACGCUGGCGGCAGGCCUAACACAUGCAAGUCGGACGGUAGCACAGAGAGCUUGCUCUCGGGUGACGAGUGGCGGACGGGUGAGUAAUGUCUGGGGAUCUGCCCGAUAGAGGGGGAUAACCACUGGAAACGGUGGCUAAUACCGCAUAACGUCGCAAGACCAAAGAGGGGGACCUUCGGGCCUCUCACUAUCGGAUGAACCCAGAUGGGAUUAGCUAGUAGGCGGGGUAACGGCCCACCUAGGCGACGAUCCCUAGCUGGUCUGAGAGGAUGACCAGCCACACUGGAACUGAGACACGGUCCAGACUCCUACGGGAGGCAGCAGUGGGGAAUAUUGCACAAUGGGCGCAAGCCUGAUGCAGCCAUGCCGCGUGUAUGAAGAGGGCCUUCGGGUUGUAAAGUACUUUCAGCGGGGAGGAAGGCGAUGUGGUUAAUAACCGCGUCGAUUGACGUUACCCGCAGAAGAAGCACCAGCUAACUCCGUGCCAGCCGCCGCCGUAA